rnacentral:lncRNA from 1 species
UUUGGCAUUUAUUGUUGAAACUAUUAACGAGUUACUUCUACUUUAUUAUUUCAAAAAGUCUCAUUUUUUUUUCUUUUUAGUAUGCCACACGUGGUUGACAAACGUGAAUACUUUGAGAGGAUAUCCCAGCAGAACCCACUGUGGUUUGAGGGUUUUCUCGUCAUCUUGCAUUAGAGAAAAUGAUGCUGAAUCAUAUAUGCUUAACAAAUCAAAAAGCAACAAACAUAUGCUGGUCUUGACGGUUCUACCACUGGCUGGUUUCAGCAGGCCCUGGGCUGUGCGGGUUCGGGCUCCUCCCAAGAGAGAUGAAGAGAUGGACAGACAGUAACAGAAGGUCCUCGAAGCUGAUGUGUGAUGAAGCCUUUCACAUUUUUUGGUAUAGUAAUCUACACACAAGACUUGUUCAGUGCUUUUGUGAUUUUAACCAUAAAGAGGAAGAGAAAAACAAGAAGGGCAUGAACCAUAUCCUCCUCCAUCAUGCCUUUUUUCCAAAAGUUUUGGUGAUAGGUGUAGAGAAGAAUCUAGGCCAAGCAGAAAUACAGGUCUGAAGCAAUGGCCUACCAUCUAAUACCGGAAAUGAAGGGAAGUGCUAUCUGUACUUUUGUAAGGGAUGUCGAUGAGAUCUAAGCCAUGAUUAAGGCUGCAUCUAUCACAAAUUGUUGGUUCACAGAAUUUUUACUUUUUAGCUAGUUAUUAGAGAAUUCUCUCUCAACUCAUUUGUUCCUUUACCGAUCUCAACUCUAAGAGUAACAUUACUGUGCUUGGGUUAUAAAUGUUUUAUGAAAAUUAACUUUUACAAAAUAUUCAGAAAAUUACUUUAAAAGUUUCAGAAAUGACUUUUUUAACCCUAACUUUCAUUUUAUAUAGAGAAAAACUUGAACUUGCUUAUGUAUUGAUACAGUGAUACUAUGCACCAUGUUUGUCUAACCUUUAGUUCAUUGACUUCUUUUGCAGACCUGCCAAGGUUUUGAGAAAAUAAAUGCUAUCAUCACAGGAUGGCCAGAUGACAGACCUAUACAAAUUCUUCCCUUUAUAGUAUCAAGUCCUUUUAUCAAAAUCAUCUUCAUGAUUUGAAACUGAACAUCGCCCCAGGGAAAUAGCUUCAGGGACGUGCUUACAAUGAAUAUUCUUGAACAUUUUAUUCUAAUGUUUAAGAAAGAACAGUAACAAAGAAGGCAAAAUAUCAGCAAGUUAUAACAUUUUGAGUUUUUCAUCUUCAAAUAAAUGAACCAAGGAGGACUAAAAGGCAAGUGGCAAAUGACGAUGCCAAGAGACUCUCCUAAGAAGUUUAUGAGACACAAAAUCUCUCAGCUUUACUUUGUUAAAUACACAAACACUGGAUUACUGUGAAGAAAAAAAUGUGCUAUGAGAAAUUACAGUUAGCCUUACCAAAUGGCGAAAUAUUUACACAAAUCAUAUCCUCAUUUUGUGUGUGUUUUUUGUAAGAUGAUGGUUCUUUUGCCAAUAUUUUUUCUCAACAUUUAAGAUUAAGAAACACUUGGAUUUACUAAUGAAUAUUUGUCUACAUAGACAUGAAAAAUGAUUAAAAUAGUAGAAAACUUAUAUCAGAAAACUUAUAUUUUCUAUCAUGUAAAAUUAAACUACUUGUCCUUGAAGUACCAAAAUGCAAGGUUAUACAGAUGAACACAUUACCAAGUAUCUGCUGACUUUGAGUGACUCUAUAAUUUAGAUAAGUAUUAAUUGAAAUAUAUUCUAGAUUAUAUAUUUUGUAUAUAUAUGUUUAAAUAAUGGCACACCAAAAUGAAUAUCAAGUAUUCUUAAGGCAGAAGUCAACAAACAUUUUCAGAAUAUUUCUAUUAUA